GAUGAACGCUGGCGGCGUGCUUAACACAUGCAAGUCGAACGGUGAAGGCGGAGCUUGCUCUGCUGGAUCAGUGGCGAACGGGUGAGUAACACGUGAGCAAUCUGCCCCUGACUCUGGGAUAAGCGCUGGAAACGGCGUCUAAUACUGGAUACGAGCUGCGAAGGCAUCUUCAGCAGCUGGAAAGAAUUUCGGUCAGGGAUGAGCUCGCGGCCUAUCAGCUUGUUGGUGAGGUAAUGGCUCACCAAGGCGUCGACGGGUAGCCGGCCUGAGAGGGUGACCGGCGACACUGGGACUGAGACACGGCCCAGACUCCAACGGGAGGCAGCAGUGGGGAAUAUUGCACAAUGGGCGAAAGCCUGAUGCAGCAACGCCGCGUGAGGGAAGACGGCCUUCGGGUUGUAAACCUCUUUUAGCAGGGAAGAAGCGAAAGUGACGGUACCUGCAGAAAAAGCGCCGGCUAACUACGUG
rnacentral:rRNA from 1 species